rnacentral:rRNA from 1 species
CAGUCGCCACGGUAAUACAGAGGGUGCGAGCGUUAAUCGGAUUUACUGGGCGUAAAGCGUGCGUAGGCGGCUUUUUAAGUCGGAUGUGAAAUCCCUGAGCUUAACUUAGGAAUUGCAUUCGAUACUGGGAAGCUAGAGUAUGGGAGAGGAUGGUAGAAUUCCAGGUGUAGCGGUGAAAUGCGUAGAGAUCUGGAGGAAUACCGAUGGCGAAGGCAGCCAUCUGGGCUAAUACUGACGCUGAGGUACGAAAGCAUGGGGAGCAAACAGGAUUAGAUACCCCAGUAGUCCCUGUCUCUUAUAC